CUUAGCAAACAGACCUCUGCUUCCUGGGUCAUCAGAGGUGUCUUGCCUCUGGGAACAAAAAAUUCCCAGUGUGUGAGUGCAGAGCAGAAGCUGCAGGAUCUUGACCUCUCUGUGCUUUAGAACUGAUAGAGUACAGGAAGGAAGGGUGGAUCUGCUGAGAGUUCCUGUCUUGCUGUGAGUCACUGAUACAGACUGCUGUUCUUGCACUUUGCAUGCCACUGUUGGGACGUCAGGAAUGCGGGCUGCAAGAGGAAAUGAAUUUGUUCAAGGAAGGCUAGUCAGAAGGAUUUCUGGGCCAAAGAAGAAAAAUGUACAGAGGAACUUCAUGCCACGUCUUUGAACAUAUCUGUGCGAGACAGUUGUUGAUAAGCGUCUGUACUUGUGCCCAAAGCAAUGCAUUCAUUUGUCAAGACAAGCUGAGGCCUAUAGAGCCAGAGAGAGAACUGAUAGACUGAUGAGACCAAAAGAAGAAGAAAGAAACACAUGGAAAAAAUGAGCUGCUUUCCCUCCUACCUUAAAAGAAGGAACUGGAAAGCCCAUACCACAACUUAGUGCCAUGGAGGGUUCACCUUUGGACAGCAGCCAAGAAUGUGAUAAUUCAUUGUUGGGAAAGCAUAAUGAUAACGCAGCUGUGUAGCACUGGGAAGUCAGCUCCCAUGGGUUGUUAAAUGUGGAAACACAUUGACUGACUUUUUAAUAGCUCGGCCUACUGAGUUACAAAGAUUUUACUACCACACACUGCUGCAAGAGCAAUGGAUUCUAGCAAUGGAUUCACUCAAAGCAUCCGUAUCAAAGAUCUUGCAACACAAUCAGCCUUUCGUUACAAAGAGUGUUUCCAAGAUACAUUUUCCAUUAUUUGAACUUUAACUUAGUGUAAAAUAAAUA